rnacentral:rRNA from 1 species
AGUGAACGUUGGCGGCGUGGAUUAGGCAUGCGAGUCGAGCGAGAACCGUAGCAAUACGGGGACAGCGGCGAAAGGGACAGUAAUAUGUAGGUACCUACCCUCGGGUCCGGGAUAGCUGCGGGAAACUGCAGGUAAUACCGGAUGACAUCUCCGGAUCAAAGGUGUGAUUCCGCCCGGGGAGGGGCCUGCAUCCUAUUAGCUAGUUGGCGGGGUAACGGCCCACCAAGGCGACGAUGGGUAGCGGGUGUGAGAGCACGACCCGCGUCAUUGGGACUGAGACACUGCCCAGACACCUACGGGUGGCUGCAGUCGAGGAUCUUCGGCAAUGGGGGAAACCCUGACCGAGCGACGCCGCGUGCGGGAUGAAGGCCUUCGGGUUGUAAACCGCUGUCGUAGAGGAGGAAAUGCAGUGGGGUUCUCCCCUCUGUUUGACCUAGUCUAGGAGGAAGGACGGGCUAAGUUCGUGCCAGCAGCCGCCGUAA